CCUACGGAUGGCAGCAGUCGAGAAUCAUUCACAAUGGGGGAAACCCUGAUGGUGCGACGCCGCGUGGGGGAAUGAAGGUCUUCGGAUUGUAAACCCCUGCCAUGUGGGAGCAAAUUAAAAAGAUAGUACCACAAGAGGAAGAGACGGCUAACUCUGUGCCAGCAGCCGCGGUAAUACAGAGGUCUCAAGCGUUGUUCGGAAUCACUGGGCGUAAAGCGUGCGUAGGCUGUUUCGUAAGUCGUGUGUGAAAGGCGCGGGCUCAACCCGCGGACGGCACAUGAUACUGCGAGACUAGAGUAAUGGAGGGGGAACCGGAAUUCUCGGUGUAGCAGUGAACUGCGUAGAUAUCGAGAGGAACACUCGUGGCGAAGGCGGGUUCCUGGACAUUAACUGACGCUGAGGCACGAAGGCCAGGGGAGCGAAAGGGAUUAGAUACCCGAGUAGUC
rnacentral:rRNA from 1 species